rnacentral:rRNA from 1 species
AACGAACGCUAUCGGUAUGCUUAACACAUGCAAGUUGAACGGACUAAUUGGGGCUUGCUCCAAUUAGUUAGUGGCAGACGGGUGAGUAACACGUGGGAAUCUGCCCAUCAGUACGGAAUAACUUUUAGAAAUAAAAGCUAAUACCGUAUAUUCUCUACGGAGGAAAGAUUUAUCGCUGAUGGAUGAGCCCGCGUCAGAUUAGGCAGUUGGUGAGGUAAUGGCUCACCAAGCCUACGAUCUGUAGCUGGUCUGAGAGGAUGAUCAGCCACACUGGGACUGAGGCACGGCCCAGACUCCUACGGGAGGCAGCAGUGGGGAAUAUUGGACAAUGGGCGAAAGCCUGAUCCAGCGAUACCGAGUGAGUGAUGAAGGCCUUAGGGUUGUAAAGCUCUUUUAGCAAGGAAGAUAAUGACGUUACUUGCAGAAAAAGCCCCGGCUAACUCCGUGCCAGCCGCCGCAGUAA